GCGCCGGUAGUCUAGUGGUACCUUCGGGCAUGAAAGGAUCCGGGCUUCCCAAGCCUGUGACGCGGGUUCGAUUCCCGCUCGGCGCA
rnacentral:tRNA from 1 species